UUUUGUGAAUAUAAUGUUUUGUAAUUAUUAUAUAGGGUAAGGUAAGUAAUUGUUUUAAUUAAAGGUGUAAGUAUUUGUAUAAGUGAUUUUUAAAGCAAUUGUACUUUAAAGUGUUAUUAUUAUAGUGUGUGUAAGUGUUUUUUUUUUUUCAUAUAUGCAUACGGGGUGCUUCAAGAAACUGCUCGGCGUAUACUUGUUGACGAUCAGGAGUGACCCUACUAGAAUAUUUUCAAAAACUAAAGACAUCGGACGGACUUCAAAAUAAAUUCCUCGUGUGGUAAAAUUGUUUAGGAAUUUUAAGCAAUAAACAAAAAUACGUAAACAAGUUAUCUAGUCAAACCAGCAAUUCAUGUUAGUCUCAGAGGACCCUAUUUGAAGACUUAAGUUUGGAAAGGAUAACACAGAAAGGUAGAAAAUUUGAAAGUUCAAAAACAAAAUCCAGUUAGGUUUGGAAUCAUUGCAACGAUAUUCGGUUAGGUACACCAAACAUGGACACGACUCCAAGUGAACUGAAAAAAAAGAUUCGAAAUUCGAAUUGGGAAAGGGAAAUGUACGAUAAGAUAAUAAACCUCCUUAAGCUAGUAGCGAUUCAUCCUAGUAUGUCAGGGACUUUCUAGAUGAUGAAGACUUUACAUAACUUUCAGGAAAUCAAAAAAAUUUAAACCUAAACUUAACUAAGAUACACGCAUUAACCGCAAUCACUAAAGGUUUUCAAAUACUUGAAGCAAUUCAACUUGGUAUGUCAGAGACUUUCCAUGUGAAGACUUUACGAAGUUUGAAAAACUUUAGUAAGAUUGGUUGUGAACUAUAAACCACGAAAAACAGAAACGAGAACUACAGAAAUAUAAGGCUGUUGCCUUAAACGUUGGGCGCCAUUUGUUGCUGGUCAGUGGAAGGGAAGGAAUUAGGAAUGAGGAAGAGUCGGCAAGGCAACAGUACUACCUUACCAGGAAAGGAAGCAAAGGCAAAGGGGUAUAUGGGAGUGAAUGUUUGAUCCCGGAAACGUGGCCUGCUUGCGGGUGCACAGCUUAGCUCGCCGGAUGUGGGGGGGAUCUUGUCCCGGAAAUCAAACCUAACCAACAGCCAAAACAUAUAUCAGGCCGGAAAACAAACUCUAAAGGGAAAAAAAGUAAAAAAAUAGGAACUGACAGCGGACGGACCUUUACCACACGAGGGCGCUGUAGGUGUUGUCACAGCGCGGCCAUUUAACCCACCCAACCUUGAAGUUUAGUUGGCCUUUAAUAAACUUCCCAAUUACUGAUACCGUUUGGGUCACUCCCUUAUGAUCACCGACUACUUAGUCGUCCAUCAGCACCCCUGAAAUUUAAGUCCUCAAAACAUGAUGUUUUGUUUCAACAAAACAAGUAAAAGAGCUUCAACUUUAGUUGCAUGGGCAAGCAUAUGCUGUGGAAAGAGUGUCGCUGCCGCCUCCUAAACCCAAAACAACCGACAAAGUUUUACCCAGGUACAUCCCUUCUAGACUAUGGACGACAUUUAUUCUUAUCAACCCGGCCGAGAAGUGCACCAGAGAACCCGGAUGAAGUGUUUCUCAACUCUUUAAAUGCCCAAAAAAGUUUUAUUGGUCGUGUGAAAGAAAUAUAAAUAAAUUACCAUAGACCAACGACGGUCUAUUUUUUGGAAUUUA